UGCAGUCGAACGGCAGCACGGCAGUAGCAAUACUGUGGGUGGCGAGUGGCGGACGGGUGAGGAAUACGUCGGAAUCUGCCCAAUCGUGGGGGAUAACUAACCGAAAGGUUAGCUAAUACCGCAUACGACCGAGAGGUGAAAGCGGGGGACCGCAAGGCCUCGCGCGAUUGGAUGAGCCGACGUCGGAUUAGCUUGUUGGUGGGGUAAAGGCCUACCAAGGCAACGAUCCGUAGCUGGUCUGAGAGGAUGAUCMGCCMCMCUGGAACUGAGACACGGUCCAGACUCCUACGGGAGGCAGCAGUGGGGAAUAUUGGACAAUGGGCGCAAGCCUGAUCCAGCAAUGCCGCGUGUGUGAAGAAGGCCUUCGGGUUGUAAAGCACUUUUAUCAGGAACGAAAAGCGUUGGAUUAAUACUCUGACGUGCUGACGGUACCUGAGGAAUAAGCACCGGCUAACUUCGUGCCAGCAGCCGCGGUAAUACGAAGGGUGCAAGCGUUAAUCGGAAUUACUGGGCGUAAAGCGUGCGUAGAUGGUUCGCUAAGUCGGAUGUGAAAGCCCCGGGCUCAACCUGGGAAUGGCGAUGGAUACUGGCUCGCUAGAGUGCGGUAGAGGAGAGUGGAAUUCCCGGUGUAGCAGUGAAAUGCGUAGAGAUCGGGAGGAACAUCAGUUGCGAAGGCGGCUCUCUGGACCAACACUGACACUGAGGCACGAAAGCGUGGGGAGCAAACAGGAUUAGAUACCCUGGUAGUCCACGCCCUAAACGAUGCGAACUGGACGUUGGGAGCAACUAGGCUCUCAGUGUCGAAGCUAACGCGUUAAGUUCGCCGCCUGGGGAGUAC
rnacentral:rRNA from 1 species